CGCCUUUUCUUUUCCGGCAAACCAAUCAUUCCCCGAAAGGCUCCUAUCUCUCUUUCGUAUUACUUUUUUUCUAUUUUUAGAAUU
rnacentral:tRNA from 1 species